GGGUAGGUGUCCGAGUGGCUAAAGGAGGCAGACUGUAAAUCUGUUGACGUACGUCUACGAUGGUUCGAAUCCAUCCCUGCCCA
rnacentral:tRNA from 1 species